UGGUUGAUCCUGCCAGAGGCGACCGCUAUUGGAGUUCGAUUAAGCCAUGCGAGUAGAAAGAAAUUAGAUUCUUUGCAUACUGCUCAGUAACACGUGGAUAACCUGCCCUGUGCUGGAGGAUAAUCUUGGGAAACUGAGCAUAAUACUCCAUAGACCACUACGCCUGGAACGGUGAGUGGUUCAAAGCUCUGGCGGCACAGGAUGGGUCUGCGGCGUAUCAGGUUGUAGGGGGUGUAAUGGACCCCCUAGCCAUCGACGCGUACGGGUUGUGGGAGCAAUAGCCCGGAGACGGAUUCUGAGACACGAAUCCGGACCCUACGGGGUGCAGCAGGCGCGAAAACUUCACACUGCAGGCAACUGUGAUGAGGGAACUCCAAGCGACUGCACAAUGUGUAGCCUUUUCUUGACUGCUAAUAAGUCUUGGAAUAAGGGCUGGGAAAGACCGGUGCCAGCCGCCGCGGUAAUACCGGCAGCUCGAGUGGUCGUCGCUUUUAUUGGGCCUAAAA
rnacentral:rRNA from 1 species